rnacentral:rRNA from 1 species
AACGCGAAGAACCUUACCUACUCUUGACAUCCAGAGAAUCCUUUAGAGAUAGAGGAGUGCCUUCGGGAAUUCUGAGACAGGUGCUGCAUGGCUGUCGUCAGCUCGUGUUGUGAAAUGUUGGGUUAAGUCCCGCAACGAGCGCAACCCUUAUCCUUUGUUGCCAGCACGUAAUGGUGGGAACUCAAAGGAGACUGCCGGUGAUAAACCGGAGGAAGGUGGGGAUGACGUCAAGUCAUCAUGGCCCUUACGAGUAGGGCUACACACGUGCUACAAUGGCAGAUACAAAGAGAAGCGACCUCGCGAGAGCAAGCGGAACUCAUAAAGUCUGUCGUAGUCCGGAUUGGAGUCUGCAACUCGACUCCAUGAAGUCGGAAUCGCUAGUAAUCGUAGAUCAGAAUGCUACGGUGAAUACGUUCCCGGGUCUUGUACACACCG